rnacentral:rRNA from 1 species
UACGGAGGGUGCGAGCGUUGUCCGGAAUCACUGGGCGUAAAGGGCGCGUAGGCGGUCGAUCAAGUCGAGUGUGAAAGACCCCGGCUCAACUGGGGAGGGUCGUGCGAUACGGGCGAACUGGAGGCCAGUAGGGGGAUGCGGAAUUCCGGGUGUAGUGGUGGAAUGCGUAGAGAUCCGGAGGAACACCAGCGGCGAAGGCGGCAUCCUGGACUGGUCCUGACACUCAUGAGCGAAAGCGUGGGGGAGCGAUCCGG